CACUAGCUGAGUAAAACAAACAAACAAAAACUCUGUGUUUGGCAUAAAGCCUUGAACUUUGAAUCAGAUAGUCUCCAUUUCAGACAUAGCUCCGGCAUUUUUUAUUGGUGCAGAGUCAAGUCAUUGAAUCUCUUUGGCAUCCAUUUGCUCAUCUGAAGCAGAGGUCCAUACUGAAGAAUUGAAGGAGAUGGAACUCGUUGUAUCCCGCAAGGGUUGCUGCCCAACCUUCCUUUUCUCUUCCAACGUGGUACUCCAUAACUCUGGACGAUCUUCACCUUGGUCAACAGGGAUAAGAAAAACUGUGGGAUAAAUAGCUAUCGAAUUGGAAAGUCAAAAUAGAAGCCAUUUCAUAGUUGGACUUGGAAAACCUGAAUGUUGAAGAUCUUGAGCACUGCCCCGGAGGAGCUGAUCUCGGCGGUGCUCGGCAUCGGCUCCAGGACCUUCCUCCACCGGAUAUCAGGAACAGGACUUAAAACAGGAGAUGGAAGAGCUAAGGGUCCACAAUGCUUAGGGAGCCAUCUUUUGUUUAUGUUUAUAGCUAAACAUUUACAUCAUUGAUUUCCAAAAGCAGCACAAAAAUUAAUGCAUUUUUAUAUACCUGAAUGAAACAUGUUACUUACUUGCCAAGAGCAAAACAC